GUCCCUGGAGGUCUAGUGGUUGGGCCACGGCGCUCUCACCGCCGCAGCCUGGGUUCAGUUCCCGGGCAGGGACC